UGUAUCCACUUUUCGUCCUUGAAAUAAAGUUUCACUAUUCUUAUGUGGUGGUGAUGAAUUUCAAUGUUGCUUAUCAGCGAAGUGAUUGUAAGAAUCAGAAAAUAUAGUUAUCAAGGACCAUGAACAAAGGGAUUGUUGCAUUCGAGAGGGAAUACAGGCUCUCCCUGGAAGAGCAGAACCGGAGAGAUUAUAAAAUUCAAACAGCACUCCAAGCUCAUAAAAGAGACACUGAGGUCCAAUUAAUAGUAGAUUCUUGCUUGAACCACUACACCAAUCUCUUCAGAAUCAAAGCUGAUGCAGCAAGGGCUGAAGCAUGCUACUUGGUAUCAGGGGGGUGGCAAACUUCAACUGAACGUUUAUUCCAGUUGAUUGGAGGUUUUCGCCCAUCCGAGCUGUUAAAUUUUUGUGUUGCCACACCUUCCUCCACUAACUGAGCAACAACUCUUGGACGUUGGAAACCUCAAACAGUCGUCUCAACAAGCAGAGGAUUCUCUCUCUCAAGGGAUUGAUAAUUUUAAGAAGGUUUUGGCUGAGAGCAUAGCAUUUGAUAUAACAUCUUUGGACUCCAGGAAUCAUGAGGCUCGGAUGGCUGCAACCAUGGAGAAUCUUCAAGCAGUGGAGUGUUAUGUGAAACAGGUAAAAUCUCAGUAUUUGAUUUAUGGUCUACAGUUUCUUUAUUAUCAUCAGUUUUCAUAGUGCUUUACAAACAUCUGAACUGGAGAGGAUUCGAACAUACAACACUUGAGUUUGGCAAAAACCAAGAAACCUAGUGUCUCUUUUGUCUCUAUAAUUAAGCAUUCAAGAUGUAUGUCUUAUAAGUGGAGUAUAUCUUGUCUCUCUACGGGAAAAGCUGUAUUGGCUGGCCUUAUAUGUAAUGCGCACGUUUGAAAUCUUGUGUGUUGUGUUUAGUUUUUCUCCAAUGCUUUCAUUCUUUCUUUUCUUCUCCAUGGUUUUAGGCUUUUAGCAAAUGAUGAUUGUAAAAACUAAAGAUUAAGAGUGUUUUUAAAUCUUUGUAUUAACAUUGUCAUGUUGAAACUUAAGAAGCUGGGCAU